rnacentral:rRNA from 1 species
UACGUAGGGAGCAAGCGUUGUCCGGAAUCAUUGGGCGUAAAGCGCGCGUAGGUGGCUUCAUAAGUCCGUUGUGAAAGUCAAAGGCUCAACCUUUGAAAGCCGAUGGAUACUGUGAAGCUAGAGUGACGGAAGAGGCGAGUGGAAUUCCUGGUGUAGCGGUGGAAUGCGCAGAUAUCAGGAGGAACACCAAUGCGAAGGCAGCUCGCUGGGACGUAACUGACGCUAG